AAGCAUUAUACCGUGAAACUGCGAAUGGCUCAUUAAAUCAGUUAUCGUUUAUUUGAUAGUACCUUACUACUUGGAUAACCGUGGUAAUUCUAGAGCUAAUACAUGCUAAAAACCCCGACUUCGGGAGGGGUGUAUUUAUUAGAUAAAAAACCAACGCCCUUCGGGGCUCCUUGGUGAAUCAUAAUAACUUAACGGAUCGCAUGGCCUUGCGCCGGCGACGGUUCAUUCAAAUUUCUGCCCUAUCAACUUUCGAUUGUAGGGUAUUGGCCUACAAUGGUAUCAACGGGUAACGGGGAAUUAGGGUUCGAUUCCGGAGAGGGAGCCUGAGAAACGGCUACCACAUCCAAGGAAGGCAGCAGGCGCGCAAAUUACCCAAUCCCGACACGGGGAGGUAGUGACAAUAAAUACUGAUACAGGGCUCUUUUGGGUCUUGUAAUUGGAAUGAGUACAAUUUAAAUCCCUUAACGAGGAACAAUUGGAGGGCAAGUCUGGUGCCAGCAGCCGCGGUAAUUCCAGCUCCAAUAGCGUAUAUUAAAGUUGUUGCAGUUAAAAAGCUCGUAGUUGAACCUUGGGCCUGGCUGGCCGGUCCGCCUCACCGCGUGCACUGGUCCGGCCGGGCCUUUCCUUCUGGAGAGCCGCAUGCCCUUCACUGGGCGUGUCGGGGAACCAGGACUUUUACUUUGAAAAAAUUAGAGUGUUCAAAGCAGGCCUUUGCUCGAAUACAUUAGCAUGGAAUAAUAGAAUAGGACGUGCGGUCCUAUUUUGUUGGUUUCUAGGACCGCCGUAAUGAUUAAUAGGGAUAGUCGGGGGCAUCAGUAUUCAAUUGUCAGAGGUGAAAUUCUUGGAUUUAUUGAAGACUAACUACUGCGAAAGCAUUUGCCAAGGAUGUUUUCAUUAAUCAGUGAACGAAAGUUAGGGGAUCGAAGACGAUCAGAUACCGUCGUAGUCUUAACCGUAAACUAUGCCGACUAGGGAUCGGGCGAUG
rnacentral:rRNA from 1 species